rnacentral:misc_RNA from 1 species
GAUGAAGAACGCAGCGAAAUGCGAUAGGUAGUGUGAAUUGCAGAUGUAACGUGAAUCAUCGAAUCUUUGAACGCAAAUUGCACUCUCUGGUAUUCCGGGGAGUAUGCCUGUUUGAGGGUCGCCAAAUCAACAUCGAAAUUCAUUUGCUUUUGUAAAUGUUUAUCGGAUUUGAGCCGUCUUUUAUUUUUUUAAUUAAAGUGGCUUAAAAUGUAUUUUUUGGUAUCGAAAAACGUUAUUUUACGAUCAAAUUGAUUAAAAAAACAAACGUUUCGAAUGCCGUCUUUUAAUGUAAUACUCUUGACUGUGGUGUUAAUCAUAGUUUCAUUCGUAUACGAUUUUUUAAUUUUUGACCUCAAAUCAGGUAAGAACACCCGCUGAACUUAAGCAUAUCAAUAAGCGGAGGA